rnacentral:rRNA from 1 species
UACGGAGGGGGCUAGCGUUGUUCGGAAUUACUGGGCGUAAAGCGCACGUAGGCGGUCGCGCAUGUCAGAUGUGAAAGCCCCGGGCUUAACCUGGGAAUUGCAUUUGAAACUGCGCAGCUAGAGGCCGGAAGAGGGUAGUGGAAUUCCCAGUGUAGAGGUGAAAUUCGUAGAUAUUGGGAAGAACACCAGUGGCGAAGGCGGCUACCUGGUCCGGUUCUGACGCUGAGGUGCGAAAGCGUGGGGAGCAAACAGG